CGACCACGCAUGAGCCAUCCAUCGCCUCUAAAAAAAAUCUCUAACUCCGUUCCUCUCUCUCACUCUCGCGUGCGCUAAUUUAACUACAACCCAGAGAGGAACCCACGAGUCUGCGAUUGCCACUGAAGUGUUUUGAGGCAAUUUCUGCUAACCCUUUUGAUUCUCUGAUUCGAGGAAGAAGAAGAAGAAGAAAUGGCAUGUGCAUCACAGGCAAUGAUAUCAGCAUACACAUGCACAUUCACAUCCCCGCGGCUCUUCAAGAAUUGCCGAUCCUUAAAUAGGCAAAAUUUGAAGCUUUUUACAGUUAGAGUUUCAUCUGAUGAUGCUGAUUGCAACGAUGAAGAAUGUGCUCCUGAUAAGGAGGUUGGCAAGGUGAGUGUGGAAUGGCUGGCUGGGGAGAAAACCAGAGUGGUUGGAACAUUCCCACCACGAACUCGUGGUUGGACUGGAUAUGUUGAGAAGGAUACUGCAGGGCAGACAAAUAUUUACUCUGUUGAGGUUGGUAAUUUGCAAAUGUUCCAAUAUAUUGAUCAAGCUUUCUUGUUAAUGCUCCCUUUAUUUGUUUAUAUGUUCCCUAACACAGCACCUUAGCAGCUCAGCCUGUUGCUGCCAAAUUGUUUAGAAUUGGUACUGAGUACUGACAAAAUCCAAAUAACCAAAAAAUAUAAGAUAAUGAAUGCUGCUCAAUUAGUUAUUAGAAGGGCAAUGUGCCAAUGUUGAUGAGUUUAUUCUAUGACUCAAAUAUAAAUUUUCAUUGCAUCACUUUCUGUUCUUUAAGUGGUCCACAAUUAAGAUUUUGUUACAUUUCUUAGCUGAUGAAGAUCCAUAAAUCAGUCUGCAUUUUUUUAAGCCAAUAACAAUAAUGUUAUAAUACGCUUCUAAUUAAAUCUGACAUUUGCUCUGAAUUUGUGCCCCCGAACCCAACCCAUAAAGUGCACAAGCCACUACGGAAAAGAAUUCACCAUGUAUAGUUUGUGGUUUACUGAAUGCCCCUACAAGUGUCUUCCUUUACUCCAACUAGUGUAACUGAUAUUUUAAUAGCUUUGUGAGGUGGCAUUUGUCUAUAGGAGUGUAAGAGGAAAUGGCUGAUUCAACACCAAGCUACAAUUUUUUUUUUUUUGACAGCAGCUACAUGCUGACUUCCUGCAUAUCAAUUAACAAUCACUAAGAGUGCAACACAUUGGAGAUCUUUUUUGUCGUUUAAUUGUAAUUUACCUUUUUAGAAGAUUUUAGCUUAGUCAUUGGAUACCUCUUGAGAGAUAGCCAAUCUGGUUUGGUACCCAAAAUAUGAAGUUUAAGGUUUUGGGCCACAUCAUUUUUUUUCCAUUCUGUAGACAGGUUGUAGGGCCAAUGGUGUUCCAAGUGAAUUACCCUAAUGUUUCAUGGCAUUGUGUUACAGUUCCAUGUUCAAUUGUAACUAUAGUUAACGAAAGAAGCAAAUUAUAUAUGUGUUUCAAGAAGCUAUUUUGUUACUCAUCUUUUUGUAAUAGGUGCUCAUGGUGUAGUGCUAUUCAUCCUGGAUAAGCAGUUAGGCUCUUGAGGCAAUUGUUUGUCUUUUAUUCACUUCAUAUAGGAAGUUAAGGUUCUGUUGUUGCAUUAAGAGGUCCUGGGAAAAGAUUCUUGAUUGCAGCUGCAUGUUCUUUUGCAUUACUAAGACCAAUGUGAAUUGCAAACCAUAAUCAGCAGUCCCUGAUAUGGUUAUUUUCUGAGAUACGUAGAUAAUUUUCAAUUUAAUCAAUGUUCCUUAUUCCCAUGCAUGUAUUCAUCCGGUUUCUCUCUGUAUAUCUCUUUUUUGUUUCUAUGCAGUAAGGAAUUGUGCUAUUAUUCAUCUAAUGGCUUCUAAUAUUUUCAGCCAACGGUAUACAUAGCAAAAAGUGCAAUAAGCUCAGGAACUGCAGGUACUUCUGCCGAUGGAGCUGAAAACACAAAAGCAAUUUCUGCUGGCCUUGCCCUGAUUUCUGUGGCUGCAGCUUCAUCAAUUCUCAUCCAAGUUGGUAAGGCACCAACUGCGAUGCAAACAGUUGAAUACUCUGGACCAUCUCUCAGUUACUAUAUCAACAAGUUCAAACCACCAGAAAUAGUCCAGGCUGCAAUGCCAAGCCAAGCUGAAUCCUCCCCAUUAGUACAACCAGAAAACUCUGCAUCAGAAGCUCCCCAGAUACUGGUUCAAUCUCCUUCCACUUCAAGUGAGAACAGUAUUUCUUAGGCUAAUUAAGUUGGCUUAUUUUCUUGAAUUUAGAAACUUGAAGAUUGUUCUUCUAUACCACUGAUGUAUACUAAAUCGGAGGUUAUUUACAUUACAUGAAACACAAGAAGAUGAAGGGAAACAUCAAACAUGGUUUUCAUUGAACUGAAAAGUAAAUGCUCCAAAUGUUGUAAAAAGUUUUCUUCAUUUGCUAUAUUUAUUGUGAAAUUGGAAUUCUGAUGUCUAUUUUCUUUUAGUUGGAAAUUAAUGAUGGUGAUGGUGAUGGUGAUGGCCGUUGGCUUUGAUCUGGGGUUGGCCCAAUUAGGACCUUGGGGAAGAAGGGUUGGUCUAGGGUGGAAAAGACCUGGCUGUCAAGCAGAGGCAGUGGUGAUGAUGAGUCUAUGCUUGGCAGUGGGGCUGAGCUGUUUGGAAAUAAAGGCUGGUGGAGGAUUCUUCU
rnacentral:misc_RNA from 1 species